rnacentral:rRNA from 1 species
UAUAUUCUUAGUGGCGAACGGGUGAGUAACGCGUUGGUGACCUGCCCCGAAGAGAGGGAUACCAGUUCGAAAGGACUGCUAAUACCGCAUAAUAUUGUUCAGAUUAGAAGCUGGAUAAUGAAAAGGAGAAAUCCGCUUCGGGAGGGGCCUGCGUCCCAUCAGCUAGUUGGUAGGGUAAAAGCCUACCAAGGCGAUGACGGGUAGGGGACCUGAGAGGGUGGCCCCCCACAAUGGAACUGAAACACGGUCCAUACACCUACGGGUGGCAGCAGUAGGGAAUAUUGGUUAAUGGGCGAAAGCCUGAACCAGCAACGCCGCGUGCACGAUGAAGGCCUUCGGGUUGUAAAGUGCUUUUUGAAGGGAAGAGGAAGGACGGUACCUUCAGAAUAAGUCUCGGCUAACUACGUGCCAGCAGCCGCGGUAACACGUAGGAGACAAGCGUUAUUCGGAUUUACUGGGCGUAAAGCGCGUGCAGGCGGUCUGACAAGUUGGAUGUGAAAGCUCCCGGCUUAACUGGGAGAGGUCGUUCAAGACUAUCGGACUAGAGAGUGGUAGAGGGAGGCGGAAUUCCGGGUGUAGUGGUGAAAUGCGUAGAUAUCCGGAGGAACACCAGUGGCGAAAGCGGCCUCCUGGCCCAAUUCUGACGCUCAGACGCGAAAGCUAGGGUAGCGAACGGGAUUAGAGACCCCGGUAGUCCUAGCCGUAAACGAUGUAGACCAGGCGUUGGUGGGGUAAAAUCCAUCAGUGCCGAAGCAAACGCGAUAAGUCUACCGCCUGGGGACUACGGCCGCAAGGUUAAAACUCAAAGGAAUUGACGGGGCCCCGCACAAGCAGCGGAGCGUGUGGUUUAAUUCGAU